rnacentral:lncRNA from 1 species
UCAUUUUAAUUUCCACCUUCCCCGUUUCAAUUUUCCCUAUUUCUAGACCUAAUUCCAUUUUAAACACACCUGAUACGCUCAUCCCUCUCUUCCUUACCCUUUAUCUUCUCUAUAACCUACGCUGACAACACAUAUUUUCGGUCCACACACCGUGACCUCGCUUCUCACACAUCUGAUUGUCGAUCGAUCUUUGUAUGAGUCAAUUUCGACCUCUAAACGAGACAAGAAAAAACCCAAGAUGAAGAGGAUGAGAAAGAAGUUUCCUAGCCCCGGAAGAAGAAGAGGAAGAAGAAGUACCUGUGGAAGAUGCGAAACCAAUUGGUGACAUUGUUAGAGUUUCAGGAAAGGGUAAAACAAGGAGGAAUCAUUAUAAAUCAUUCAAAUCUAAUGGCCUUUCUAAAGAACUUGUGAGUACCUUUUCAUGUAAUAAUUCAGAUUCCUUUGCAUUUGUUCCUAGUUAUGUGGUUUUGCAUGCUUGAUGUUCUCUUACAUAGUCUUCCAAACUUCUGAAUUGGGUCGUCCGUCACUAGAAAUUUGAGAGGAACUUGCUCUAUCGAUAAUUUCGAACGAAUUCAAUAAUACCUUUCAAUCCUUCAUCACAAAUUUAACCCUAGAUCCUCUGAUUCUUUAACAAUCAAAGUUCAACUAAUAGGGAAAUAUCAUUUAACUCUUCUUUUUUCCUGACUUUAGUUAAUUUUGGAAUUAGGUGCAACCUCUGUCUUGCGGAAACUUCUGCUUCCUUAACAUCAACGUGGUCGACACCUCCAAGAAUUUGUCGUAUGGCUGUUUCCAAGGUUUUAAAACCAUUGAUUUGGUAUGGGUACUCCUGGCUUUAACCCUGUGACGACGAUGCAAGAUUCACCAAGUCUUAGAUUUCAUGGUUUAUAAUAUCGCACAUAAUCUUAAUAUAUCUAAUAUGAUUUAGGUGUUAUUAUAUGUUGAUUUCUGCCACUAAAAAUCAUAGGUCAGUAUUCCUUAUGAAAUUUUAAUUAUUUAAUUUGUGAUUUGGUAAAAGGAAAUUAAAAGAGCAAGCGCUAGUUUCGUUUGAUUUCCUGGAGAUGUUUGUACAGGGAUUUGGAGUUGUUUAUUAUAUGGAAUUGGACUUUAUUAUUUACUGCUGGUGAUUCUUUUUGAAAACUAGUUGAAACACGAUCUAACAAAACAAUAUUGGUCCCAUUUUUUUUUCUUUUCUUUUUUUUUUCUAUAAAACCCAGUUCAAUAGGGAUUAACCACUGUAGGUCUAGGUCCAUGGAGUUAAAACUUGAUGCAGUAGUAGAUUGAUAGGUUGGAUGUAUGAUUAUGUAAAUUGGAAACUAUAUGUAUGUGUUAUAUGUAACUUGGAUGAUAGAUUGAUGUUGAUGUUGGUGUUGUUAAACUAAAACAAGUGGAAAUUGAUAUUAAUAUUUAAUAUUUCCAAAUUUUAGGUUCAUAUUACACCCUCUAAUGGAACAUUGGCCAGAGCUAGAGACAUACCGCCUACUGCUGCUUUAACAUGUAUUAUAGUGUGGUUUCUAUUGGUAUAGUGUGGUUUCGAUUGGUUUCUUGAUAGUAUAUGUUAUGGAUGUAGUAUACUAAUAAAUAAUUUAUACAAAAACAUGCUUCCUUAUAGAUUCUUUUUAUAAGAUCAUGUAUGAUUGGACUUAUAAAUGGUUUAUAUCUAUUUUCUAUUCACAAGCAUAUUAGCAUAUAUGAAGCCCUAGAGUUAAGAAAUGCAGAUUAUGAGUAUCUACGAAAAGGAGUGAUCUCAUUUGAUAUUCUAUAUCACAAUUUGCAUUAAUGAAAUUUUUUAGAAGGAUAAAUGGUUAUUAUAUGUAGAAAUUUCAAUACUUUUGGCUUAUGUUUUUUUUUUGUUUUCUUUACCAUAUUUUUAGAUUUGUUAUAAGUACAAGUUCUUUUGGCUAUUUUAAUUAGGGAUCUUAUGUAUGAAUUUGUAUUUCAAUUAUUAAUAAUAUUGAUUUAUUUUUAUUGUUUCAUAUUGUUGAUUUAUGGUUACUUUCAUUUAUAUUGUUUUGAUGUGUAUGAAAUAAAGCUAAAGUA